rnacentral:rRNA from 1 species
AAUGAACGCUAGCGGCAGGCCUAACACAUGCAAGUCGAGGGGUAACUAGAGUGAUAGCAAUAUUACUUUGGCUAGACCGGCGCACGGGUGCGUAACACGUAUGCAACUUACCUUAUACUGGGGAAUAACUUCGAGAAAUCGGCGCUAAUACCCCAUAACAUUGCGAAGAGGCAUCUCUUUGCAAUUAAAGCUCCGGCGGUAUAAGAUGGGCAUGCGUCCAAUUAGCUAGUUGGUGAGGUAACGGCUCACCAAGGCUACGAUUGGUAGGGGUUCUGAGAGGAUGAUCCCCCACACUGGUACUGAGACACGGACCAGACUCCUACGGGAGGCAGCAGUGAGGAAUAUUGCGCAAUGGACGAAAGUCUGACGCAGCCAUGCCGCGUGCAGGAUGACGGCCCUAUGGGUUGUAAACUGCUUUUGUACGGGAAUAAACCCUUCUACGUGUAGGAGGCUGAAGGUACCGUAAGAAUAAGCACCGGCUAACUCCGUGCCAGCCGCCGCCGUAAUAC